AGAGUUUGAUCCUGGCUCAGGAUGAAUGCUGGCGGCGUGGAUAAGGCAUGCAAGUCAAGGGGGCUCUUCGGAGCAACCGGCAGACGGGGUAGUAACACGUACGAACGCACCCAGAAGUCUGGCACAGCUCGUCGAAAGACGGGGUAAUUCCGGAUGGUACCGAGAGGUUAAAGAUUUAUCGCUUCUGGAGCGGCGUGCGCAAUAUCAGCUUGUUGGUGAGGUAAUGGCUCACCAAGGCUACGACGUUUAGGGGCGCUGAGAGGCGGACCCCCACCGAUGGGACUGAGACACGGCCCAUACUCCUACGGGAGGCCGCAGUCGAGAAUCUUCCGCAAUGGGCGAAAGCCUGACGGAGCGACGCCGCGUGGUGGACGAAGUGCUUCGGCACGUAAACACCUUUUAUGAGGGACGAAGUUUAUUGACGGUACCUCAUGAAUAAGGGGCUCCUAACUCUGUGCCAGCAGGAGCGGUAAUACAGAGGCCCCAAGCAUUAUCCGGAAUCACUGGGCGUAAAGGGUGUCGAGGCGGUCAUAUUAGUCGUUCGUAAAAUCCGUGGGCUCAACCUACGGCUCGCGAGCGAAACGGUAUGACUAGAGGUUGGGAGAGGUGCAUGGAACUCACGGUGUAGGGGUGAAAUCCGUUGAUAUCGUGGGGAACACCAAAGGCGAAGGCAGUGCACUGGCCCAAUCCUGACGCUCACACACGAAAGCCAGGGUAGCGAACGGGAUUAGAUACCCCGGUAGUCCUGGCCCUAAACGCUGCUCGCUCGUUCUACGGAGUAUCGACCCUCUGUGGGACUAAGCUAACGCGGUAAGCGAGCCGCCUGGGUAGUACGAGCGCAAGCUUAAAACUCAAAGGAAUUGACGGG
rnacentral:rRNA from 1 species